UUGGGCAGGAGGUGGUGUUGCAGCAGAAUUGAGGAAGUGAUGGGGGAGGCGGCUAGGUUUAAUGAGAAAUGAAAUGUCAGAUCUAGGAAUGCCUGGCUUCUCCCCCAUGGGCAUGGCCAACCUGCAUGGCUGGCCCUCUUGUCUCUGCUGUUUUCUAUCUUGAGGUUUCUUGGGAAAGCAUGUUUCUUUUAUUAUAUAAUAGUUUCCGGGGAGAAGGUGGGACAGAGUGGAUGUCACGUGAAGAUACAGCAAAUGGGAACUGGACUUCUGGCCGGGUCACCACAAGUUGAUGUAGAGGACAUGGUGCCCAAGCUUCCUUCCAGCUCUGUGCCUGGUGUGUCCUAAGCACUCAAAGAAACUGUGUUAUCGAGCAUAUUGAGCUAAAUCUCCAGCCGCUCCAAGGACAGGUGCGGGCUGUUUCCUGAAGAGGCGGAGCAAUCCCGCCCAGGUGAGCCGCCAUAUUUCUCCUGUACAUCUGAGUCCGGGGAGCGGGUUUACUUGCAGGCAGGUGACACCGGAGCUCUGAUUGCCUUUGGUCUCUCAUGUGAUCCUGACUCCUGUGGCACCUUCCUGUAACUUCCUGCAGCCAAGUCAACCUACAGGGCUGUGUUAGAACGUUCUCCCUUUGUUCCGGAUCUUCUCAACGCCACCCAUCCGGGGAACACACACCGUGCAUCACGUCCAGAGCCUUCCGGGAUGUUCUGGGUGUUGUGAAGGGGCCCUGGUGGGCGCUGAGGGACACUCGUCUCAUCUCAUGGACUUGGGCCUUUCGUCAGGCUGCCACCCUCUUCUUGCCUUGGCUCUUCUCAAACUCUCCCCCUUGAGGACCCUUCCCUUCCUCUCCCAGACCCUCCCCAGCCACUCAUCCUGCACCAGGCUCGUCUCUCUCUUUGCUGAGGGUCCAGCUUGGGCUGCAUGAAUCUUAGGGAGCUUGUCCCCUCUUAUGUUCUUCCCGCUGCUCCUCACUGCAGCCCCAUCAGCCGUUGAGGGGAGUCAGGAGGUUGGAGGGGCCAGGCCAUAGUUAAUAGCAGGUGAGGGCCAGUCUGAAGGUCAGGGUGAUGCCAGUUUAUCUGGGAACAGCCCUUGAAGAUCUGUGGACCCACAGCCUCUCACUUUAUCAUCUGGCGACAGGAAGCCAUGGUCCUCGGGCUUGGGGACUUGGUUUCAAUCAGAAGGUUGGAGACUACUGUCCUCAGACAGCUCUGGGCUAUCAUAACAUCACAUAUGAUCUCCAAGCUAUCGAUCCUCAGCUGGUAUUUCCCCAAACCUCCCUGAGAUGUGCUUGGGUGAUGAAACAAUGGACUGGGUCAAGAACAUGCAACAGAGGCCUCUCCACUUGCACCAAAAAUCCAUUUUCUCUCCCAGGGAACAUGGCUGGCCCACUUUUACCAGCAUCCCAUGUAUUUAAAUGUAGCAAACCACUGAGUUCCAAGCAGGGGAAUCUGCACAAAAGGACCAACACAUUAACAGAGCACCAGCUAGAAGAAAACAGCAAGGAGGCUUGGGUGAUGGCAGCCUUAGAAAUGGAAGAUACCCAGGCCCUGAAUUACACUGAGGAGGAGAGUCACCAACAACGAGACCGGACUUCCAGCCAUAGCAGCAAGAAAUAAGCUUGUUCCAAUCUUACUGUAUAGCACAGGGAACUCUGCUCAGUGUUAUGUGGCAGCCUGGAUGGUGG